AGAUCCUGGAUCCUGUUGGCAUAACUGAGAGACUGUACCAGCCCUGGAUUGAAGAUCUCCAAAUUAAGCCAUUGCUGAGACAAGGAUUCGAGUACAGGUACUUUAUUUGAGAGGUGAUCCCAGAAAGCACCACUCGGGGAGUGGGACAGUAUGACAGGAAGGACAAGGAAACCAAUAAAAGAUUAGAAAUCCAUAUUACGGACACUUGCUCAGAGUUCCAGCUUCCUGCUCAAACCCUAAGUCAAAGUGAAAUGUGGUCUAAUCCAUCCUAGUGCUUUUUUUUUAUAAUCUCAAUUUUUUGGAAAUCAAGCAAUGGGACUUCUUCAUGGCCUGGCUUGAAAAUGGAACUGGCUUGAAAAUGGAACAUGGCCUGACUUGAAAAUGCAACUCUGGAGAAGGACUUGUACUUGCCUUUGCCAAACACCAUGGCCACUAACA